ACGCAAGCGAGCGAGUCGCGUAGCACAAAGCAAAAAGAUACAAAAAAAAUAAACCUAAACGUACGCUUAGAACUCCAGAGUUUUGUUAGCCAGUGUGUGACUCAGUUCGACGCUUGAGGCCAGCGAUAGUUGUUGCUGUUGUUGGUGGCGCGUUCGAAUUUUUUUGUGUACGUCGCUUUUGGUGGUGGUUACCUGUCGUGUUGGCCACGUUUGUGUCGAUCCGAUCAGUGCACCGUCAGCGAGCGGCGCGCGCAGUUCGUCGUUCGUCCCCAGCAACAGUCACACAGUCAACAGUCAACAGUCAGCAGACAGCAGUCGAGCGGCAAUAGCGCCAGCUGCGAGCGAGCCAGAGAUAUCACACACAACACACACACACACAACAACAAGCAAAAGUGUUAGAUAAACUGAUAAUACAAUAGCAAAAUAGAAAUAGACAUGCACAGAAACGUGGCGCAAAAAACAACAACAACAACAACAACAAUAAGAACUCAACAAACAACAAUAAAACGAAAAAAAAAAGAAAACUAUAUAUUAAAAAAACAACGAGAAAUGAGCAACGUCAACGGCGAAAACGGAGAACGGCAAAAGCACAGCGCACAGCGCACAGUGUCAAUAAAACUCUCGAAUUCAUUAACACAACACAAAACGUUCUAUUAGUAAGCACUUGCAAAUUUUGUGCUCCACAACGAGAAGGCGAGAGGAGUCGAGAAGGGAGCGAGGACAACACAGCGGAGCAUCGCAGCGUUGAAAAGAAGACUCAAGCAGAACAAAAAAUUAGCGUUGAGAGACCCUAUCGAAUUGGGAGAAGCAACAGCAACAGCAACUUGUUCACCAGCAACAGUUGAAAGGUCUAAGCUAUCAAAUAGAGGAGAGCACUGCAAACACACACACAUACACAUGGGCUCAGCGACUGGCAUAAAACACCUCAUAAACGUCAGACGCCAGACAGAAGAGACUCUCAAAAAGUUAGAGCCCAUAAUAAAAAUCAACAGCGACAACAACAACAACUACAACAGCAGCAUCAGCAGCAACAGCAGCCGCAACAUGAGCAGCAACAAAAGUAACAACAACAGCAGCAACAAAAGUAACUGCUGACCGUUGUGUCCUUGGCCUCCAAAAGGGCAGCGCAACAACGCAACAUCAAUGGGGGCAAAAAUAGAGGCUGGCGGCAUUUGACAUUUCCCCGGAGUCCUUUUUGUGCUGCAUUUGCGACAAAUGGAGCGAAGUUUUGUGGCAGUGUUCUCUUGCAGACAACUUGAACAUGUCAAUCACGAUGUGAAUGUGGACUUGCGAAAUGGCCGCGAGACGCUUCCUGUUGGGUAAGCUGAUGCUGCUGCUGAUACCUGAUACAUGAGACAACUAGGCAAGUAGAAGACAGUCAAGACAGACAGACAGACAGUCAAGGGGCAGUCAGAUUGAUGUUUAGUCAAAGCAAAUGCCAAUGCCAAGAGUUUGACAAAAAACUUGACUUGAACACGCACACGCAGAGGCACAGUUGACCCUGCCUAAAGCGACCCCUCGCUGACCUUUACCGCCUGCCGCGACUAAUUUAUCAAAUAAAAGCAAAGCGAAAUUGAAUGUCGGUUCAGAGACGACGACGACGACGAUGCAUAAUUAAGCUAAAAGGAAAAGAGACACAGAGCGAAAGGAAGGCAGCGGUAUAUUAUGUUUUUUUUUACCUCUUUUUUUGGGGGUCUACAAAUGCGUUUUUAAACCAUUGAGCAACGCCUCUUUCUAACAGUUUUUUUGUUAUUAGUUGUGGUUUCCAUUCGGCUGUUUGAUUUUUGUUAAUUGCCGCUUAUUAAUCUUAGGGCUAUUUCGCUGUGGCCUGUUUAAUGGUCUUGCAAACAAAAAUUCUAAUUAAUGAAAUAUUCGGGGAGAAAAAGAAAAAGCCACAUUUUGUUAAACACAAAACAAAAUUCCAAAAACGAAACUAUUCUGGCCAUUGUUUGGACGUCUUUCGACAAUUAAUCAAAAAGAACAGGCUCAGCAUCCACAAAAAGAGAAAAAAAACUGUAGAAUCUUCCAAUAGACAAAGCCUAGGCAUUGUCUAUGAGAUUGCUCGACGAUCUUGCUCAGUGCGGCGCAUUGACAAAUUUGUUGGCAACUUGCAGCUUCAAAUUAAGUCAUCAAUCAUUUUGUGCUGUGAUAUCAAAGCAGCCGCGCUUUGAUUAAACUGAAAACUGAAAUUGAAAUUGAGGGGCGACAUUCAUAAUCAAAUGAUAUUGAAAGUCAAGAUGGUGGUCCAAACACAGAUCUCUCUCCCAUUCGAAUUGACGUUGGUACAGUUUGAGUUGCUAACGAGUUGAGUUGAUUCGAGUAGACGUAGUUGUAUUUUCUGUGUUUGUAGAGUUGAAAGUUGCCAGGUAGAUAUCGCAUGUGAUUGAAAUGAAAUAUAAAAUUACAUUAAAUUACCGGAUGUAAUUGCGGUGGUCGUGCCAGUCGCUCAACUCAACUCAACCCAACUCGACUCAACUCGACUGAACGCAACGCAACUUAACUGAGCUCAGACUCAGUAGCAGAGCGUCUGUCUGCUCUCUUGCUCUGGUCAAUGAAUCAUGGCCAAAACGAAGUGCGACGCAAUUGUAGUCAGGGCAGUUGGGACAACAGGGCAGCAAAAAAAAAAAAAAAAAAACAGAGAAAAACAAAA